UCUCAACAAGUGAAACACUGCUUUGGAG
rnacentral:piRNA from 1 species